rnacentral:piRNA from 1 species
UGCCAUUUACAUGAAGAAGCUGGCCACC